rnacentral:lncRNA from 1 species
UUUUUUAAAUGAUGCUUUACAAAAAAAAUUCUAAAAAAUAAGUGAAAAAUCUUAUUGAAAUGGAAAAACAAACCUACUAAUCUAUUAAAAAAUGAAAAAUAAAUAAGAAAAUAGGCAAGCAAGUCCGCCGCCCGCCAACCCUACAUCUUGGCAGGGAGGGUUAGAGUUUUAAGCCUAAUUUCACUUGGCGAACUUGCCAGAAAAUCCCCUUUUUUGGCGGGAUUAAGGUGGGGCGGCC